rnacentral:rRNA from 1 species
UACGUAGGGUGCAAGCGUUAUUCGGAAUUACUGGGCGUAAAGCGUGCGUAGGCGGUUUGUUAAGUCCGUUGUGAAAGCCCUGGGCUCAACCUGGGAAUUGCAGUGGAUACGGGCGAGCUAGAGUGCGGUAGAGGAUGGUGGAAUUCCCGGUGUAGCGGUGAAAUGCGUAGAGAUCGGGAGGAACACCCGUGGCGAAGGCGGCCAUCUGGACCAGCACUGACGCUGAGGCACGAAAGCGUGGGGAGCAAACAGG